GACGAACCGUGCGAACGUUGUUCGGAAUCACUGGGCUUAAAGGGUGCGUGGGCGGGCUAUUAAGUCAGUGGUGAAAGCCUACAGCUUAACUGUAGAAUUGCCAUUGAUACUGAUAGUCUUGAGUAUGAUUGAGGUGGGCGGAAUGUGUCAUGUAGCGGUGAAAUGCUUAGAUAUGACACAGAACACCGAUUGCGAAGGCAGCUCACUAAGCCAUAACUGACGCUGAUGCACGAAAGCGUGGGGAGCAAACAGG
rnacentral:rRNA from 1 species